rnacentral:rRNA from 1 species
CGGAGAGUUUGAUCCUGGCUCAGGAUGAACGCUAGCUACAGGCUUAACACAUGCAAGUCGAGGGGCAGCGCGGUGUAGCAAUACACUGGCGGCGACCGGCGCACGGGUGCGUAACAGGUGUGCAAUCUGUCCAUAGUCGGGGAAUAGCCCGCCGAAAGGCGAAUUAAUGCUCCAUGUGAGUUGAAGCCGCAUGACUUUAACUUGAAACGCGAGGACUAUGGGUGAGCACGCUUCUGAUUAGCUAGUUGGUGAGGUAACGGCCCACCAAGGCGACGAUCAGUAGGGGUUCUGAGAGGAAGGUCCCCCACAUUGGAACUGAGACACGGUCCAAACUCCUACGGGAGGCAGCAGUGAGGAAUAUUGGUCAAUGGGCGAGAGCCUGAACCAGCCAAGUCGCGUGAAGGAUGAAGGUUCUAUGGAUUGUAAACUUCUUUUAUUCGAGGGUAAAGUGUGGUACGUGUACCAUAUUGCAAGUAUCGAAUGAAUAAGCAUCGGCUAACUCCGUGCCAGCAGCCGCGGUAAUACGGAGGAUGCGAGCGUUAUCCGGAUUUAUUGGGUUUAAAGGGUGCGUAGGCGGGAGAUUAAGUCAGUGGUGAAAGCGUGCGGCUCAACCGUACCAAGCCAUUGAAACUGGUUUUCUUGAGUGCAAACGAGGUAGGCGGAAUGUGACGUGUAGCGGUGAAAUGCUUAGAUAUGUCCCAGAACUCCGAUUGCGAAGGCAGCUUACCAGGAUGCAACUGACGCUGAGGCACGAAAGCGUGGGUAUCAAACAGGAUUAGAUACCCUGGUAGUCCACGCAGUAAACGAUGAAUACUAGCUGUUGGCGAUAUAUGGUCAGCGGUACAGCGAAAGUGUUAAGUAUUCCACCUGGGGAGUACGCCGGCAACGGUGAAACUCAAAGGAAUUGACGGGGGCCCGCACAAGCGGAGGAACAUGUGGUUUAAUUCGAUGAUACGCGAGGAACCUUACCCGGGCUUGAACUGUAGGAGAACGAUUCAGAGAUGAUGAGGUCCUUCGGGACUCCUAUGGAGGUGCUGCAUGGUGUCGUCAGCUCGUGCCGUGAGGUGUCGGCUUAAGUGCCAUAACGAGCGCAACCCUUUUCGUCAGUUGCCAUCAGUUAGAGCUGGCCACUCUGGUGAUACUGCCGCCGCAAGGUGUGAGGAAGGUGGGGAUGACGUCAAAUCAGCACGGCCCUUACGUCCGGGGCUACACACGUGUUACAAUGGGGCAUACAGAAGGCCGGUCCGCGGCAACGCGGAUCCAAUCUUUAAAGUGCCUCGUAGUUCGGAUUGGGGUCUGCAACCCGACCCCAUGAAGCUGGAUUCGCUAGUAAUCGCGCAUCAGCUAUGGCGCGGUGAAUACGUUCCCGGGCCUUGUACACACCGCCCGUCAAGCCAUGAAAGCUGGGGGCGCUUGAAGUCCGUGACCGCAAGGAUCGGCCUAGAGCGAAACCGGUAAUUGGGGCUAAGUCGUAACAAGGUAGCCGUA